CGUGCGCACGCGCCGAAUCCCGAAAGGGAACCGGGGAACCACCAACUUGGGGUGAAUCGGGCACCUUUGCGCCUUUGAAGAGGUGCCCGUAGGAGACCUUCCUGCUCCGAACCCGUCAGCUAACCCGGUAGGCGAGAAGGAAGGAAAGG
rnacentral:sRNA from 2 species